CAUGAUUGAGUGCAGCGCUGG
rnacentral:miRNA from 1 species